rnacentral:misc_RNA from 1 species
UCCGGUUUGUCACCGGCAGUCACCUUAGAGUGCCCAACUGAAUGCUGGCAACUAAGAUCAAGGGUUGCGCUCGUUGCGGGACUUAACCCAACAUCUCACGACACGAGCUGACGACAGCCAUGCAACACCUGUGUAGGGCCCUUGCGGACACCGUGUCUCCACGGCUUUUCCCUACAUGUCAAGCCCUGGUAAGGUUCUUCGCGUCGCGUCGAAUUAAGCAACAUGCUCCGCUGCUUGUGCGGGCCCCCGUCAAUUCUUUUGAGUUUCAACCUUGCGGUCGUACUUCCCAGGUGGGAUACUUAAUGCUUUCGCUCAGACACACACAGUGUAUCGCGUAUGUCGAGUAUCCAUAGUUUAGGGCGUGGACUAC